GACGGACGAACCUCUGGUGUGCCAGUUGUCCUGCCAAGGGCAUGGCUGGUUGGCUACGUUCGGGAGGGAUAACCGCUGAAAGCAUCUAAGCGGGAAGCCUGCUUCGAGAUGAGGACUCCCACCCACUUGAUGGGGUAAGGCUCCCAGUAGACGACUGGGUUGAUAGGCCAGAUAUGGAAGCCGGGUGACCGGUGGAGUUGACUGGUACUAAUAGGCCGAGGGCUUGUCCUCAGUUG
rnacentral:rRNA from 1 species